AGCGCUGCGCUUCGUCGUUGCAUAAUUAUUUUAAUUGAAAAUAGCUGUUAAAAGUUGUGUAUUGUAUCAAUGAAGGUUGUGUAUGUGUUAAAAGUUGUGCGAUGGGUGACCGAGGCAGAAAAUUAGUGCAACUAGCCUGCAGUAACAGGCUAGAAACAGUGGGAUCAGGUGGUUCUAAUAACAGAUUUUCUAUGACGGGACCUAGUGUUUCAACGGCAAACGAAAACAUAAGAUGUUACCUGCAAAACAAUAAUGAUGACAAUGACUCCUCCGAUCUUGAUGAAUCGCAAAUUGAUAUCGCCGCCCAAAUGCACAAUAUUGUCACCGAUGAUAAUAUUACGGCAGACUCAAGUAAGUCUUUUGAAGAUUAUAUAAAAAAAUUAUAUUAGGAUCCAUUCGUUAACUAUGUUAAUAUGUAACUUAAUUUAUUUUGCUUAUAUUUUUUUCCAGAUGAUGAAAGUAAUUUAUUUGGCAGUGAUUAUUCGGAUGAAGAUCCCACUUACGUGCCAGAUCCUAAGGACUAUUCGCCAAAGCAAAUAGAUUCCGACUCUGAUUUUAUUCCUGAAAGUCCGAAUGCUUUCUCCAAACAGGAAGACUUUUUUAUGGUGCUGAUUGAUGAAGUUUUAGAUCGAGUUUGGAUUUCUGUAGAAGGUGACUAUUCAGCAGCAGCUUAUGUUCAAGAUUCAGAUUCAGAAAACGAUACACCUCAGCAAAAUGAUUCCGGCCAUGAUAUUAUUAUUCCUGAAACUCCCAGCCCAUGCAAACAGCAGAAACGUUCCUUGUCGAUAUUUAACAACGUUUGUAGUUCUGGAGAAGGUGAAUGCAUAGCAAGAGCUUCUUCUUAUGUUCCAGAUUCAGAGGACGAUCCAUUAAAAGUAUUACAUCCAACUGACUCUAGCUGCAAUGACAGUAUGAUCCCUGAAA